UGAUUCUUAUAAACCAUGGAUGAAACGAAUCAAAUAAGUAUGAAUCCUAUUUUCAAAAUGUCGACUAAAGGAGACACAUUAUAUUAUAAACAAACGUUGUGGUUGGCAAUAUAUAUCUGCGUUGCAAACAGAUUGGGUUUACAUGUUGUAACAA